UACGUAGGGGGCAAGCGUUAUCCGGAAUCACUGGGCGUAAAGGGUGCGUAGGCGGCCGAUAAAGUCUGGGGUGAAAGGCUACGGCUCAACCGUGGUAAGCCUUGGAAACUUAUGGGCUUGAGUGCAGGAGAGGUAAGUGGAAUUCCUAGUGUAGCGGUGAAAUGCGUAGAUAUUAGGAGGAACACCAGUGGCGAAGGCGACUUACUGGACUGUAACUGACGCUGAGGCACGAAAGCGUGGGGAGCAAACAGG
rnacentral:rRNA from 1 species